AUCUAUUAGUCCCUUAAUAGACUUUGUUGUUAUAGGCUUUAAUCUAGUUUUUGAACAAGUAGGCUUUAAUAUAGUUAAAAUUUACUUAUAGUGAAAUAUGCUUUUAAGUAGGCUUUAAGGUCUGUUUAGCCUAUUUAGUAGGCCAAAUGAACUAUUUGAUGGUCUUAAUGUUAAGUAGGCCUGUAAUUAGACUUUCAGGCCAGUCCAGGCUUUUAAAUAGGCCAGAUCAGGCCUAGAAAAACGGCAUAUGAUAGGCCAUAGGCCAGACUCAGGCCUAUAAAUAUUUUCGUAGAUCAGGCUCAGGCCUAUCAAAGUCUUGUCUGGCCUGACCUAUUCCAACCCCUAACUUCAACUCACUUUUACAUGACACAAACGACUUUACAUUUAAUUCAUUUUUAAUCAAAACCAAUUCUCUCAAAAUCAGUUUUUAUCAUCUCAAUACUAAAAAUACAUUUACUCUCAUAGUUUCUUAGAGUAGCAUUUUGAGGCCUAUAUGUACAUGUACAAAAACAUGGUAUCCGAGCAAUGGUUUUUAACUUUGUCUCUCUAGACAACCUAGGUACACACACACCAUGAGAACUCCCGUGGAGACUUCACCACCCACCGGUAGGUUCACUUCCAGCAACCUGCUUGAUGAUCUAAACUCUAAAUUACAUGUUUGUCUUUACUGGUGGCAUGAAAACUGGGUCAGGACACGCUACCAUUGCACAUGCAGAUCCACAACUAUCAUUGGAUUUGCUGCUACAAUCACAAUCAUUUGAGCCAACUUAAUAUGAUGGCUCCUAAACACUUAGUGACUUAGGUAUCCUUGGUUUCUCAUUACCCAGUGCUAUCAUAUGUGACUAUGAUGGAUGGAUAAUAGAUUCGGGUGCAAUGGACUACACGGCGUAUGAGCCGAGUGGCUUUAUCAAUUCUACACCUUCAAGGAGAACUAGUAUUAAUUUUUAGUUAUAAUGGUGUUAUAUAUGCAGUUACAAAAGCUGCAACUGUUGCUCUUUCACAUUCUAUUUCAUUGUCACACUUGACUUGUUCCAUCUUUGUCAAACAAAUUAGCGCCUAUUGGCCACAAAAAAACUCGGGAAUUGCGGCGGUCUUGUUACGGCGGGUACAUAGUAGAUUGCGGCAGUUUUUUUGAACGCCACUAUAAACUGUCUAUUACGGCGGUUUAAGCCGCCGCUAUAUACAUUAUCUUAUUCAAACAAUACAGCAUAUGCGUUACAGCAUUUUGAACCGCCGGUAUUUACAAUUUCAUUUUUCCACCUUGCCGCACUUAUAUUUUACUUUCCCUCUUAUCCCCUCCACUUUUUUAGAAAAAUCCUUCCAUCUAUUUUUAUUAAUUUUUCUUUUAUCUUUUUCUUUGUUUAUAUUUCUUCCAUAUCCUUUUUUCUUAACAAAAUCCCAGAACACAAACCAUGGCUGGCUCGACAGAAACGCAUCAAAACUCAAAUCCAUGAACUCUUACCUUCUCCGUGAUCUCUAAUCACUACAUCGGCUCAAAUCUACACAAACUCUUUCGUUCCCUUUCUCAAACCCUGUCUUCGGCUAAACGCAUCGAAACCGUCGAACCCAUCUCAAACCCAUGGAAACCCUCUCGGUGAAACCCAUCGAAACCAUCUCAAAUCCUUCACUCUCCAUCGAAUCCUCUCAAAUAAUCGAUUUGCAUAUGUUCUAGAAGGUGAAUUCAGGUUCUCGUAGACACCCUCGUCAUCUGCUUAAUGAUUUGCACUGGCAUAGUGGAGCAAAUUGAAGCUUAGCAGUGGAGCGCCAAUCAGAGAGAUGCGGCAUAGACUCAAGUAGCCAUACUUAGCCAAACUUGUAAAGCCAAGGUGAGGUGUUCAAUAUGGCGCUCUUGUUGGAGGUGUUUGAUAACGAAGUGUAGGUUCUGCCAUGUUGGAGGCCACUUCUGAGAUUACCUAGCUUUUGGUUAGUGAUGACCUUCAGUGGAGUUUUGGGUCUAGCAAUUAGCUUCACCUCCAUGUGGUUUCUUCAUCAAACAGGGGCUACAACUUACAGUCUUGUAGGUUCGCUGAAUAAGAUACCACUCUCAGUUGCUGGCAUCCUUCUCUUUAAAGUUCCUACUAGUUUGGAGAACUCUGCUAGCAUUUUAUUUGGGGCUUUUGGCAGGAGUACUUUUCGCUAGAGCCAAAAUCCGGGAGAGAUCGCAAUCCUGAGGAGCAGUAUAAGGAAUUUUUCUGAUCUAUGAUAUUUAGUUUCCGGGGUGAAGUUAGAAGUUCAACCUGGGAUUUUGAGGUGUUGUCAAAGAGAUGAUUAUAUCAGUUAAACUAUCAGUAUAAGGAAUUUUUUUCUUUUUUUAUCAAGUUGUUUUAUGAAUUAGCAUUAUGUGAACCUUAUUUGAUCCAUAUAUAAGUGUACAUGUAUCAAGAGAAGUUGAAGGAUAGCAUUACAGUGGGGAAAUAAGAAGUCCAUACAUAUAUACAGAAGAGUUCCUAUAUAUAUAUAAACUUAAAUUCUAUUA